GAUGAACGCUAGCGGCAGGCCUAACACAUGCAAGUCGAGGGGCAGCACAGAAACAGCAAUGUUUUGGUGGCGACCGGCGGACGGGUGCGUAACGCGUAUGCAACCUACCUUUAACAGGGGGAUAACGGAGAGAAAUUUCCACUAAUACCCCAUAACAUCGAUCAAGGCAUCUUGAUUGGUUGAAAACUCCGGUGGUUAAAGAUGGGCAUGCGUUGUAUUAGGUAGUUGGUGAGGUAAUGGCUCACCAAGCCUACGAUACAUAGGGGGACUGAGAGGUUAGCCCCCCACACUGGUACUGCGAAACGGACCAGACUCCUACGGGAGGCAGCAGUGAGGAAUAUUGGUCAAUGGGGGCAACCCUGAACCAGCCAUGCCGCGUGCAGGAAGACGGCUCUAUGAGUUGUAAACUGCUUUUAAACAGGGAUAAAGCACAGUAUGUAUACUGUGUUGAAGGUACUGUAAGAAUAAGGAUCGGCUAACUCCGUGCCAGCAGCCGCCGCAG
rnacentral:rRNA from 1 species